rnacentral:tRNA from 4 species
GCGGAUGUGGCGGAACUGGCAGACGCGCUAGACUUAGGAUCUAGUCUCUACGAGGUGCAGGUUCAAGUCCUGUCAUCCGCA